UACGUAGGGUGCAAGCGUUUGUCCGGAAUUAUUGGGCGUAAAGAGCUCGUAGGCGGUUUGUCGCGUCUGCUGUGAAAUCCCGAGGCUCAACCUCGGGUCUGCAGUGGGUACGGGCAGACUAGAGUGUGGUAGGGGAGUCUGGAAUUCCCGGUGUAGCGGUGAAAUGCGCAGAUAUCAGGAGGAACACCGGUGGCGAAGGCGGGUCUCUGGGCCGAUACUGACGCUGAGGAGCGAAAGCGUGGGGAGCGAACAGG
rnacentral:rRNA from 1 species